rnacentral:rRNA from 1 species
UACGUAGGUGACAAGCGUUGUCCGGAUUUACUGGGCGUAAAGAGCGCGCAGGCGGUCGAUCAAGUCGAGUGUGAAAGCCCCCGGCUCAACUGGGGAGGGUCAUUCGAUACUGAUCGACUCGAAGGCAGGAGAGGGUAGUGGAAUUCCCGGUGCAGUGGUGAAAUGCGUAGAUAUCGGGAGGAACACCAGUGGCGAAGGCGACUACCUGGCCUGUUCUUGACGCUGAGGCGCGAAAGCUAGGGGAGCAAACGGG